UUGGGUGGAGCGCUUCGCUUGUGCAAUAGAGGGCGGCUGCACCACAAUGAUCGGAGGACUGGCUGCUUUGAUUGUUCUCACUUCUGUGUCUCUGAUUCAAACGGCAGACAUUUCUCUUCAGAUCCCUCAGACUGAGGCAGAACUCGGUCAGGAUUUGACUCUGACAUGUCACGCGUCCGGGGAUAAAGUCGGGUUGUUUUUCUGGUACAAGAUGAAGUUUGGAUAUAUGGUCCAAACCAUCGCAGAAGGAGCUGUUCAUAAAGAAAUAACACUCCAGGGACAAUUCAACAACUCGAGAUUCAUCCUCACAAAAGCAGGUUCUCUGUUUCAUCUGAACAUAAAAAAUGUGAGCAAAGACGACGAAGGAGCGUACUUCUGUCAGUCAGGAGCAGCGUAUUCAAUGAAAUUUAAAGAUGGCACAAUUCUGGCUAUGAAUGAUCCUAAAAAGCAGCAGAAAUCGGAGACGGUCCUGCUGGUCGAAGACUCUACAGUUGAGAUGAGACAAGAACCGUUUAUUGUCAUCAUCCUCGGGAUACUGUUGGGUCUCUGCGUGAUUGUAAUCGGCAUCCUUAUUUGCUCAAGAGACUGAAGGACGGUGGCACAGUGGCGGUGAACUACCGGAUGUCUCGACAAAAGAAACAAGGGAGGAAAAAAAAAGAGACAGCGGCAGAAAUCAUCAGACUUCUGUUUGUGUGAAAUAAACUGUCAAGAGCCACUUCAACAUGUAUCGCAUUAAUAAAGAGUGUUCAGUCGACUGAC